ACCCUUGACCACGGUAUAGUCAGCGACUGGGGUGAAGUCGUAACAAGGUAGCCGUAGGGGAACCUGCGGCUGGAUUACCUCCUUUCUAAGGAUGAAUGAAAGUAAAAUUUCAUUCUAAAUAAUAUACAUCGGUAAUGUUGACCGUCCUCAUUUCUCUUCUUAAAGUAGUGUUUCUCUUGCAUGGGGGCCGGUAGCUCAGUUGGUUAGAGCACACCCUUGAUAAGGGUGGGGUCGAAAGUUCGAGUCUUUCUCGGCCCACCAAUAUAAGAUCAUGGGGGAUUAGCUCAGCUGGGAGAGCGCCUGAUUUGCAUUCAGGAGGUCAGCGGUUCGAUCCCGCUAUCCUCCACCAAAAACACUUAGUUAUAAAAAUCGUAAAUAAAUUUAAUAAUUAUAUCAAUAUCUAUAUCCGAACAUUAGUAAUGUUAUUAGCUAAUGUUCAAAAUAAAAAUUGAUUCAACACAGAAUUUUUUUCUGUGCAUAAAUCAAGCGUUAAAGGGCGUGUAGUGGAUGCCUUGGCACUGAAAGCCGAUGAAGGACGUGAUAUACUGCGAUAAGUUUCGGGGAGCUGUAUGUAAGUUUUGAUCCGAAAAUUU
rnacentral:misc_RNA from 1 species